CUGGCCCCCACCCUUGGAGAAAGGGUCAUGUGACUUUUAUGCUGUCUCUUAGUCCGUGUAAGCCAUGCCCCCAGAAGCAACUUCACAGAAGAAAGAUCUGAUAACUGAGGAAGGGAGGGGGCUUUGAUGGACUUUGACUUUUUGGGUCUGCAGGCCCUAUACAUAGAGUAGGGCAAGUGUUUGGAGAGCAGAACAACAUCAGAGAACGUAGACGAAAAACUUCACAAUGCUGUAGGAUGAAACGCUCAAGGGCUGACAGUUGUACUAUUCACCUGAGCUACUUAAUAGUAGUAGAGAUCCAUACACGCACCUGUGUGGCUUGAAGAAGUGCCAGUCCGGCACGAAACCACGCUGUCCCACGCUGUGUAUCCCCCGCGCCUCCCUUCUAUACUUUCCUGCCUGUGACCGGUGUGAUGCAUUGACCUUGCAAUGAAGUCUUCCAGCAGCUGUGGAAAUCAGCAAAAAGAAUGGGUGAAAAGACAAGCGUAAAUAAAAUCUGCUCAUAUUUGUAUACUGUGUGAACUUGGCCUUACAAUGACAGAAGAGGUAGUGAAGGAAAGGAAUCCGCUGCCCUCACUUGGAUGGCCAUUAAUGUGUCUCUCUUCAUCC